rnacentral:rRNA from 1 species
GCAUCGACCAGAGGGAAAAGGAGCAAUCCGCUUUGAGAUGGCCUCGCGUCCGAUUAGCUAGUUGGUGAGGUAAUGGCCCACCAAGGCAACGAUCGGUAGCCGGACUGAGAGGUUGAACGGCCACAUUGGGACUGAGACACGGCCCAGACUCCUACGGGAGGCAGCAGUGGGGAAUAUUGCACAAUGGGGGAAACCCUGAUGCAGCGACGCCGCGUGGAGGAAGAAGGUCUUCGGAUUGUAAACUCCUGUUGUUGAGGAAGAUAAUGACGGUACUCAACAAGGAAGUGACGGCUAACUACGUGCCAGCAGCCGCGGUAAAACGUAGGUCACAAGCGUUGUCCGGAAUUACUGGGUGUAAAGGGAGCGCAGGCGGGAAGACAAGUUGGAAGUGAAAUCUAUGGGCUCAACCCAUAAACUGCUUUCAAAACUGUUUUUCUUGAGUAGUGCAGAGGUAGGCGGAAUUCCCGGUGUAGCGGUGGAAUGCGUAGAUAUCGGGAGGAACACCAGUGGCGAAGGCGGCCUACUGGGCACCAACUGACGCUGAGGCUCGAAAGUGUGGGUAGCAAACAGGAUUAGAUACCCUGGUAGUCCACACCGUAAACGAUGAUUACUAGGUGUUGGAGGAUUGACCCCUCCAGUGCCG